rnacentral:rRNA from 1 species
ACGCUGGCGGCUGCUUAACACAUGCAGUCGAACGCAACCUUCGGGUUGAGUGGCGGACGGGUGAGUAACGCGUGAGAAUCUGCCUUGGGGUCGGGGACAACCACUGGAAACGGUGGCUAAUACCGGAUAAGCCUUUGGGUAAAAGAUUAUUGCCCCAAGAGGAGCUCGCGUCUGAUUAGCUAGUUGGUGAGGUAAAAGCUCACCAAGGCAGCGAUCAGUAGCUGGUCUGAGAGGACGAUCAGCCACACUGGGACUGAGACACGGCCCAGACUCCUACGGGAGGCAGCAGUGGGGAAUUUUCCGCAAUGGGCGAAAGCCUGACGGAGCAAGACCGCGUGAGGGAGGAAGGCUCUUGGGUUGUAAACCUCUUUUCUCAGGGAAGAAGCUCUGACGGUACCUGAGGAAUCAGCCUCGGCUAACUCCGUGCCAGCAGCCGCGGUAAUACGGAGGAGGCAAGCGUUAUCCGGAAUUAUUGGGCGUAAAGCGUCCGCAGGUGGCGAUUCAAGUCUGCUGUCAAAGCACGGGGCUUAACUCCGUUAAGGCAGUGGAAACUGAAUAGCUAGAGUGCCGUAGGGGUAGAGGGAAUUCCCGGUGUAGCGGUGAAAUGCGUAGAGAUCGGGAAGAACAUCGGUGGCGAAAGCGCUCUACUGGACGGCAACUGACACUCAGGGACGAAAGCUAGGGGAGCGAUGGGAUUAGAUACCCCAGUAGUCCUAGCUGUAACGAUGGAUACUAGGUGUAGCUUGUANUCACCCGAGCUGUGCCGAAGCUAACGCGUUAAGUAUCCCGCCUGGGGAGUACGCACGCAAGUGUAAAACUCAAGGAAUUGACGGGGGCCCGCACAAGCGGUGGAGUAUGUGGUUUAUUCGAUGCAACGCGAAGAAC